GCCAACCACCACAGUAAUCCUGAAUUCAAUGACAGAAAAUGAAUAUGAAGAUAACAGUCCUUCAGAAAGCCAUGACAUUGGAACAAUGCAGUCUAUCUUCAAUAUACCAAUAAAAUAAUCAGCAUCCAAUAUCUGAGUCCAUCUCUCAUUCUGGGUGUUUGUGAGUCUGGAAUUUGAGGGUCAUGAACACAACACAGGAACAUCAAGACCCAUUCUCACUGAUGCUUCCAGCAAGCUUCAUCCUGGGCCACUUUC